AGAGAGAAGCAUGCUGGGUAGGGAUUUUCCUGCUAUUUAUAGGAGUCUAGAUGAAAACUGCAUCAUUUUUGUUUUUAUUCACAUAAAGUAGAAUCUUAUCUUAAUAUUUAAAGAAAAAAAUGUGCAUUCAUUUUUAGAAAAAAAAAUUUAUGAGACUUUUUAAUAAGGGGAGAUAACUCCCAAAACAUCCGGUUUUCACAUGUGCAGAAUUGCAUGAGUCAAUUAGCAGGUAAUGUAGCUCUUUCAUGAGGUGGAAAAUGUACCCUGAAAGCACACUAAAAGAAAACCUUAGGACUUGUUCUGUGAAAUGCAUACAACUUAUUUUGUCUGAUUUUUUCUGUUUUUGUUGAGCAGGGGGGUUAAAAAUGCAUAGGUGCACUGAAAAUGGAUGCAUAAACAACCCAAUAUCCCCCAUAUUUCAGGUGUCAAAUACCCCCUAGUAGUAAUUGAUGAAUGUAUUAUAGUUGGAUAUUUACAAAAUUCACAAUUUUAUCUUUCCAUUGAUAUGCAGAAGUCUAUGUAACAAGCCUCCAUUUUAUUUUUUAUAGGGGUCAGUUUUGCUUGUCCCUCACCAAGUAACGUCCUGAUAACGUCAUACAUAAAACUGUGUUUUGCACCCUUAAGGAGUAGCAUUUGAUGACAUUUCCCACAUUUAUUUGCAUGGGUCAGUUUUGCUUGUCCCUCACCAAGUAACGUCCUGAUAACGUCAUACAUAAAACUGUGUUUUGCACCCUUAAGGAGUAGCAUUUGAUGACAUUUCCCACAUUUAUUUGCAUGGGUCAGUUUUGCUUGUCCCUCACCAAGUAACGUCCUGAUAACGUCAUACAUAAAACUGUGUUUUGCACCC